ACAAUUAUAUAAGUUAAAUACCCAAGAAAUAUCUAAGGAUACCCAUUUAGAAAAAAACAAAUAAUAAAUAUAUAAUUUAUAGUUAUUUCAAAUGAACACACACACACACACACAUAUAUAUAUAAACGUUUAAUCCUCUCUUUUAAAAAAAAAAAAAAAAACUUUUAAGAAUACGGAUUGUCACAGAACGUGAGCCCCCUUAAGUGCAUAUCGAAGACAUCUACUAUUCGUGAAUGGAAUUGAUGGGCUAAUCCAAGUAUAUUUGAGGACUGAAUUAGAGCAACUUAUUAGGUGUUCUUAUCGGAAU
rnacentral:lncRNA from 1 species